rnacentral:rRNA from 1 species
UACGUAGGGGGGCUAGCGUUGUCCGGAAUCAUUGGGCGUAAAGAGCGUGUAGGCGGUCCGGUAAGUCCGCUGUGAAAGUCGGGGGGCUCAACCCUCGAAUGCCGGUGGAUACUGUCGGGCUAGAGUGCGGAAGAGGCGAGUGGAAUUCCUGGUGUAGCGGUGAAAUGCGCAGAUAUCAGGAGGAACACCUAUUGCGAAGGCAGCUCGCUGGGACGUAACUGACGCUGAGACGCGAAAGCGUGGGGAGCAAACGGG